rnacentral:lncRNA from 1 species
CUCUCUCAUAUAUCUAUCUCUCUUUCACCACCUUCCAUCAUCACCCUCUCUAUUCUUCUCUCCAUUAUAAUCAUAUAUACUAACCCUUCAAGAGAAUCCUUUUUCUUUCUCAAUUCUACCACCAAAUGGGUCUUGAAAUGUUAGAUGAAUGUGGACAAAUUACACCUAUAAGAGCCAUUGCUACUACUACUACAAAACCCUUCAGCAAUAGCAUGGAAGUAUUGGAUCUAGAGAAAACAAAGGAGGUAAAAGAAGAAGAAGAAGAUAAAGAAGAAGAGUGUCAUACACCAACAUCACCAACUCAAAUAUUGAAGACACCAUUGAUUUGUCCACCACCUCCUAAGAAACCACGUGUAGCUAGAAGAAGUGAUGUAAUUGCACCUUCUCAAGGCUUCAUUCAACUCUCUCAUGAUUUGGCUUCUGUCUUUUUUCUGAAACACAAACCCAACAUCACAGGAACCUCUUUGCUUACCACAUCCUUUUCUUGAGCAGUGGUAUAUUUAUAAAUAUAUAUAUAUAUAUAUAUAUAUAUCAAACAUAUAUAUUUUAAUUUAUUAACUAUGCACCACAUUAUAUAUAGUUGUUUUUAUCUUCCUAUCUUUCUUAGUACCAUGUUUACUAUGUUGUCUUGUCUUAAAUAUUUGAAGUGUAG